rnacentral:lncRNA from 1 species
UGAUUAAUCGGUGCUAUUUUGGGAAUGGGUUGAUUGGUUAAGACUGAGCCACAAAUCAACUACAGAUCAAUUCCAUGUCAGGAGUUUUGAUGUUACAAUUCCAUUAUGACUGAGAGACACCCAUGGGAGACAGCAUGCUAGACAUAGAUCCCCUGAGAAGUUUAAGCCCAGGCCUAAAAGGACACAAGCCUUGCCCUUUGGUAUGAGAAACCAGGCCUGGAGAGUAUGGCUUUGAGAGGUGGCUGAAUCUCAAAGUGCUGGUGUUAAGUCCAGCAGUCUGCCUGAACCCUCACCCUGCUGUCUACAUACAGCAGAAAUUUGUGGUCUGAUUGUUUUCCCCAGCUACCGAAGUGAACAUGCCUUGGCUUGCCCUGUUGUCAUCAUCUGGAUUAUAUGGACAGAGGAACCUCUGGAGCAGAGGGGCACUUCACAAACCCACAGACUAUAAAGCUAGGCAAAGAAAAAUGUGGCUUGCCGGAUUCCUAGACUGCAGGUCCUGGAAAGAAGUGAUUCACUCAAAAAUACAGAGAAAGGUGGAGCUGGAAGCAGCACGUGGCACACUACCAAGAUACAAGGUUAAACCUUUCUGUACCAAAGAGUAGAGCAGAAGACCGAGGGGCAGCCGCUUUGGCUCUCACCUGAGCAAUGAAGUCAGAGCUCUCCCGGAACAAAACCAGAAGAACUAUGUCCUGACUUUCUCCCUGAAAGGUGUCACAAAGCCUGUUACUUUCCAAGCUUACCUGGAAAUUAACUUGAAGAAUAAAC